GUAUUAAUUUGCUAGUGUUUUUCAGAUAGCAGCAUGGCAUGUGUAAGGGCGUGGGCCGGGACACGCAGCCAUUAGGCACCACCCACUGCGCCGGCCGGCGCAGCAAAUUGCACCUCGCGGUGCCACCAACCACGCCUCGCGGCGUGAUCCAUGGCGCCUGACGGCGCAUCCACAACCCACUCCAAAAGUGCACAGGAACGUGUACCAACAGAUACGGUGAUGAUCCUUCCGCAGGUUCACCUACGAAAA
rnacentral:misc_RNA from 1 species